GUGGCUUCUUUAAAUUUGAAUGUCGAUUUGGUAAAAUUGUUCCAAGUUUGUAUGAAUUGAAGCCUAGAAAAAAUGUUCCCCUCGCUAUCCGGUGCAACUUUUGAUGUUGUAUUUGGACGUUGGGAAACUACACUU
rnacentral:snoRNA from 1 species